CAGAAUUUAGUUUAUAGAAAAUAUUUCAUUUACAUUGAAUUGAUUAUUGUGCAAAACAUAGUUUCUGA
rnacentral:tRNA from 1 species